AUCAGUUUUCGCGUCCUCAACAACGAUUUCCCGAUUUCCAAUGAAGCUGCUCACAAUUCUCCUGCUAACCUGUGCUCUCACGGGCUUCAUGGUGCAAGCUUGCAGCAACAUAGCGGACUGUGAGGAUACCUUUUGUUCAGUAUACGAGAGAGCAAUCUGUAAGGCCGGUGGAUGCGGUUGUGUGGGCAGAAGAAUAUUUUCAAUACUGCGUGCCAGUGGUUUUCAUAAAUAAAUUUUACAUGGAAAAAUUUCAGCUGCUAUAUACCUACAAAAUUUUCUGUUGUAUACUUUGCAUGUAUUUUUUCGUCAGUUUUGCGGUUGAUUUUUCUCGAUGAAAGUUGUAACGUAUAUGUGCGUAUAUGAAUAAAAUUGAAUAUUAAUCAAUUA